rnacentral:rRNA from 1 species
AGUGAACGCUGGCGGCGUGCCUAACACAUGCAAGUCGAGCGGAAACGACAUUAUUGAAUCUUCGGAGGAUUUAAUGGGCGUCGAGCGGCGGACGGGUGAGUAAUGCCUAGGAAAUUGCCUUGAUGUGGGGGAUAACCAUUGGAAACGAUGGCUAAUACCGCAUAACGUCUACGGACCAAAGGGGGAGAUCUUCGGACCUCUCGCCAUUUGAUUAGCCCAAGUGAGAUUAGCUAGUUGGUGAGGUAAUGGCUCACCAAGGCGACGAUCUCUAGCUGGUUUGAGAGGAUGAUCAGCCACACUGGGACUGAGACACGGCCCAG